GUCAUAUGGAUUCAAGAUGGCGUCGAGAAGCAGAGAAUAUGUUCUGGAUGAGUUGCUUUGUUUCCUAAGCAACCCAAUAUUUCAAGUACCUGUUUUAACCUUUAUGGAAGAUCGGUGCUUGAUAUUUGAUCCAGAAAUAGAGGAUUCGGCAGAAUAUCGCAAGAGCCAUGAAGACUACAAGCGCUUGGUGGACCGGAUGCUGCUGUCCUUCGAGCAGGACACAGGGCUGGACUACAAGGCCAUCAUGGGGGCAGUGCAGGAGAUGAAUGACAAGGAGGACAUCAGGACCGUGUUCCAGACUGUGCUGGAGCAGGUGAUGUCGUCGGUCGACUUUGGACUGUUUGUAAGAGUGAUGGCCCAUAAGAAUAUCGUCCUCCAGGAGGAAGCUCUGAAAAUGAUCAUGAAGAACCUCGGAGCCCUGCCCAGCAGCCUGACUCAAGGCAGAGCGGCGGAAGCACAGAAGGUGAACACCAGACAGAAGGAGGAAGACGCAGUGCUUGCAGCUGCCAUGGAGAAAUCACGCCAGGAGUUUGAGAGUCAAAAACGUAGGAGCAGCAAGGAGGAGCAGGAGAUGAAGGCUGUACUGGAGAUUUCAAUGUGUGAAGCCAAGCGCCUCAGUGACAGUAGACAGGUAGAAGAGAAGAAGAUUGACAUGGCUCUCAAGAGUGGAUCCAGUGGUGGUUUUGGAAAUGUUGCAGUUGUCCCCCCUGUUUCUGCUGGCUCCCAUGAUGCAACAACCCAGCCAGCCAGUCCCACCAAGAUGGCUACUGACCUCAGAUCUGCGCCCAAAAUAGCUGCCGUGCCUGCUGCCGUGCCUGCUGCCGUGCCUGCUGCCUCCCGUCCAUCACAAGCCACUGCUGCUACCCAGAAAUCCCCAACUUCUGCCACUGGUCUUGCCCCCAUUACAUCUUCUGUGCGGCCAAAGCAAGGCGAUGUGCCAAAGGCAGGUGGGGUGAGCAACGCUGAUGCUGCAGCCAACUGGAUGAAGUCUGCCCAGGACGAGUCCAGCACAAGCGUGCAGCAGUCCGAGAGGUUCCAGGCCAUGCAGAAAUCAAUGGAAGCAAUGUCAAUGGAUGAGCGACAACAGCGUCUGAAGUUCCUAAAGGAGCAGAGGGACAAGCUGGUGAAGAUGAAGAAGGAGGAGAGGGAGAAGCAGCUUAGGCGGGUGGAGUCCGCUCAGCCACAGCGGCCACAGUCGGCACGGGCAGCUCGCGCUUCAAUGUCCGGCAAAAUGGCUGAACCUGAGAAACGAGACCCUGAGAUGGAGAAAAGACUUGCUAUGAGAAAAGCUAUAGCUGAUAGACUCAAAUCUGAAGUGAUUGGUAAGAAGUUUUGAUGUUGUGAGCAUGCUGAAACUUGCACUUCAGACACUGGUGGCUGCACACUGCAUGAAUGUUCAUCCUUCCCACCCUGCCUCAUCCAGAGUGUGACCCUCAGAGACCUCCUGCAUGGUGCUGCACUGUUGUAUACUCUCUACAGGUGGCUGAAUCAAGGACCUGUGGCUAUCAAUGUUGUGGUAUAUAUGCCAGACACCAACUGUGUGGUCCUCUCUGUAACACACAAUGUAUGCUUGACCUGUAUCGUCUUUAGGAGGCAAGGGAGUUAACUGACUAUAAAGGUCUGGAAUUACAGAGUAAGGAUAAGAAUUUAUGGAUGAAUAACUUCUUCAUUACAAUUAAGAGCUACGUUUCAGAAUUACAGAGUUAUAUUUUGGCUGGACUAACAAGUCUAUGCAUAGUCCAAUCCAAAUCGUGUUACGAAAUUGACAUCCGGUUGGCAAACUGCCAUGCAGAUUUCGAUCGAUGGCAGGAUUUGCAAAGCAUGUGUACCGUCAACUUAUCGUCAACAGAUAUUUACCGAAUGUUUUUAACCAAGGUGCUCCCGUGAUUUGAUGCACUUCGCGAAGUAAGACCUGUUUUAUUACAAUAUAGAUCUUGAUUAUAGAUUGCAUUCACUUGGCGCUGCCAUUUUGUUUUAAUCAAAUGCAAGUGAUAGGAGAGGUGGAAUCAGAUUGGUCAAUAGGAGGAACAUAGAAAGGUCAUACCUCAUAAUAGCCACUGGUGGCACUACGAUUGAGUCCAGAAAUUCAAACCUCGUUCGGCAAGGAUGGAAAUUGGACUUUUCGUCAGUUACCUCCCUUGCCUCAGGAAGAUGGACCUGUAUGGACAAUCCAACCUUAUAAUCAGGUACACUAGUGUACAGAAGAACCUCAUUAGUGGUUUAAACCGUCUUCUUUUCAAUAAAAGAGUUUCAGCCCUUAACAAUAAAAGUGUUUCAGCACUGAAGAAACAGUAGGUCUUUUUAGUCACUAGUUAUUGAGGUUAGGCUGUAAAGGAAAGAAGUUGACUUUAAUGAGGUUCUACUGAUCUGCGCAUGUCUGGGUUGUGUAUGUGUGUUAUGUGUAGACAAGCAUUGAUAAGACUUUUAGAAAGAAUAUUUUCACUUGACAUACAACAUGCUGGAUAAAUAGAUGAAUACAAUCAAUUUGUGAAACGAUUUGAAAACACCAUAUACCUUGUUUUGAUAUGUUUACAUGUUUUGUGUGCUUCAAGUUUGAGGUGCACACCCCUGGUGCCCUUCUCGGGAUGUACUUAUGGUGGAGGUUUUUCACGUGUACUCCCCACCUUGUACACCACCAUAGGCGGAUCCAGAGUGGCGUCCAGGGUAACGCUGGAUCUGCCCUUGCAACGCUGACUCACAUUUACACCUUGUAGUGCAAUGACUCACAUCCCACCUUGUACAACAACACUGACUCACAUCCCACCUUGUACAACACUGACUCACAUCCCACCUUGUACAACACUGACUCACAUCCCACCUUGUACAACACUGACUCACAUCCCACCUUGUACAACACUGACUCACAUCCCACCUUGUACAACACUGACUCACAUCCCACCUUGUACAACACUGACUCACAUCCCACCUUGUACAACACUGACUCACAUCCCACCUUGUACAACACUGACUCACAUCCCACCUUGUACAACACUGACUCACAUUCCACCUUGUACAACACUGACCCACAUCCCCACCUUGUACAACACUGAUUCACAUUCCUACCUUGUACAGCACUGACCCACAUCCCCACCUUGUACAACACUGAGUGACCCACAUCCCCACCUUGUACAACACUGACUCACAUCCCCACCUUGUACAACAACACUGAUUCACAUUCCUACCUUGUACAGCACUGACCCACAUCCCCACCUUGUACAACACUGAGUGACCCACAUCCCCACCUUGUACAACACUGACUCACAUCCCCACCUUGUACAACACUGAUUCACAUUCCUACCUUGUACUGCACUGACCCACAUCCCCACCUUGUACAACACUGAGUGACCCACAUCCCCACCUUGUACAACACUGACUCACAUCCCCACCUUGUACACAGACACACAUCCCCAUUUUGUAGAACUGAUUCACAUCCCUUUGUUGCACUACACCGACUCACAUCCCCUAUUGCUGCACACUGACUCACAUCCUCACCUUGUACCACACCUUCUUUUACUGUGUUCAUUUAUAAGGACUGCAUUGUAAUGUAAUUUUACCAUGUGAUCUGCCAUCUUUGUCAAGUACUUUCUCAUCCCGUCUCUUCCUGCGUCAUGGGGGCACAUGUGGUCCAGUCAUCUAGGUGCUACAGAGCGCCGAGUUGCCUCCCUUAGCGUGCCAAAAAUCUGUGAUCGUGGGUUCGAAUGCCCAUUUGCUCUGAUUAUGUUUCUCGGUUUCUCAGUUCCAUACCUGUGCUUGUGGGUUUCACCAAAGUGGUUAAUGUCUGAGACCUGCAUCUCUCCAGGCUUCUAACAGCAACAGAAACAAUGGUCAAAGCGCAGCAGUAGUAACUAACAUUUUUAGCCCACUACUCCUUAUAAUGAUAACAUAUAGUAAAACCCUUAAAAAUGGCAAAUUUCUACUAGUCCUUAUGAUACAUUAACUGUUGGACAGUUUGGCAAGGAUUACAGGACUAGUGCCAAUUUCUAACGCUGAAGUGGCCUUAAACCCCACGCAAUCAUGUCUUGACAUUCUCUGCUUGAUUCAGGUUAGAUCAGCAUGUAGUGAUGUAACCCUCUGAUGCUGGAGUUGAAGAUCGUCACCAUUAGAUGGCGCUGCAACGACUAUCAUCUACUCUAAACAACCGCCAAUCAUAUGUUGUAACUGUGUUGUCUUGCACCAUAUUGGACAGACCAGCAGGUCACAGCCUGCCACCUAGGUAGGAUCACACCUAGACAACAAUGUUCCACCGACGCCACCCUGCAGGAGAAUCAUCCGUCCUGGUACACUGCUGUACCACAACUAACAAUGUUUCAGUUUUGAUACAAACUCCUGUCCAUUUGGCAUCUUCUUGAGACAAGGGAGUUAACUGACCAUGCAAGUCCAGUUUCCACCCUUGCCGAACUAUGAUGGAAUUAUUGAUUUAUUUUUGGUUGUCCAAACGAGUCUAUGCAUAGUCCAAUCAAAAUCACGUAACAGAAUCAACAUCUUAAUCAUAAACAACAUGGCGACUGACGGGCAGAUUUCGGUUGAUUGCAGGAUUUGCAAAGCAGAUGAACCACCAACUGGGCGUCGAAAGAUAUUUUCCAAAUCUUUUAAUGUUUGAUCAACUUGGUAAAGUGGUUUGAUGCACUUCUCCAGAUUUCAUUACAAUAUAGAUCUUGCUUAUCAAUGAGAAUGUCUUGACUGGACGCAGCUAUUCUGUUUCAAACAAAUGCAAGUAACAUGAGAGGUGGAAUCAAUAACUCAUAAUAGCUACUGGUGAGACUAUGACAGAGCCAUGAAAUUCCAUCCUACUUUGCUAAGUGUGGAAAUGGGACUUUUAUAGUCAGUUAUCUCCCUUGUCUCGGCAAGAUGAUUUUUCAUAGUCACAAUAUUUUUGUCUUUUAAAGACGAGUUUAGAACAUAAUCUCUUUUACAAUAAAACCGUCCAGAUUAUGCAUGACCAUGAUGACAGCUGUAAUCUCAACCAGUGCAAACUAAGCAUGUCUUUCAGGACGAAGCUUGAUGUCCAGUGUUGUAUCAUAUUCAGCAUAAUCCUGAGUUCAGAGUUUCCAUAGCAAAUUCCAGGGCUUGAUUUAGCUAUAUGAAACAUGCACAAGUGCAACCUAUUAUUGGAAUAUGCAACCCAAUACAUUUUAAUUGGUAAAUCAUCAUGUGUAGUGAUGUUUUGUCUCAAAUUUCAAAUUUGUAUUGACCAAGUUUGUUAUCAUCUGUCCCCUUUCCCUGAAUUCACUAAAGGGAUACAAUGUAAUUUUUUCUGCGGAAGACAAACACGUUUUUAUUGCAAAUGUAGGGAUUGUGUAUGCACUGGUGAUGUGCUUCAUUCCGAUUCGAUUUAUAGACGGGGUAUAUAAAUAAGCAUCGAUUUUGAAGACUUGUGCAGGGGGGUCGCUUUAUAGACGUAUGUGACAAUGGCAGCAGUCCGGCCAGUUUCAACUUUAAUUUAUAGGACCUGGAUUUGUUUUGGGUGCAACUUGGUUUUCAUGUCAACAUGCACCUGGUGCAAUUUAAAUAAAAGUUCUAUAAAUCGAGCCCCGAAUUCGCUGAGGAAACUUCUUGAUUACUUCACUCCUACUUCAAUCAUGUUAUUUACUGAAUUUUUUGCUGGGGACCUGUGUCGACCCAUGCAUGGAGUUCGUGGCAUAGAGAGUAAUAAUCAAUGUAGGUAGCAUAAUGUGUUCUGUGUAUGAUGAAAGCUUCAUGUUGUUAUGUGUGAAUGGAAGGAAACAUGGGAGAUUGAGAGGAGCUGGUGGAUCCAGGCUCAGUUUGAUAUUAUCAUGCACUGGGUGAAUACAGGGUAUAUAUCACUUGGACGGCCAACCCUGUCCCUGCUCGAGCUCUAUCUUACACAACCUGCUUCACGCUUUAACAUUUUGUUUGUUGUGUAACGCUGCACUCAGGUGACCUGUAAAUAAUCGAGUCUGGACCAUACCAUCCAGUGAUUGAUAUUAAAAACCAUGCCAUCGGGAUACGAUGACAUCAAAUCAACCAAGUCAUCAAGUCUGACCACCCAAUCGGUUUAGUUAGCUCUUACAAACGGCAUAGGUUACUAGCGACCAGUUCGAACCCGGAAUCACACAAAUUUAGGUUUUGAAAUGUACCAAAGAGUGUCACCUCACAACGCACAAUAAACGGUGAGGGUCAUUUAUGUCCUGGGAAACCCCAUGAUUUGCAUGUGUUCUUGACUGUGAUGAACCCAAAUGAGGUUAACUUCAGUGAGUACAACUACUGACACAAACAAUUGCCUGGAGUUGGCUCCUUUGCUUCAGUAUUAUGUAACCAUGGUUACAAAUUUGCUGCCUUCUGCCUUUGGAUAAUCACGGAUGUUCAUCCACACUUGGCGUUGUAACGUUCACACCUGUAUACAGUAAGCCUUCUGUACCACGUGAGCCUGGAACUCCAGUCAUCGUAGUCAAUGUUAGUAGUCUGCCUAAAGUUUAAGAAAGCUCAUAACAACCUCUCACCUUUAUACUAGAUAUCUUGUGAAACUCCAUACAAAUUAAAACAGUGUGUCAAAUGGGAUCGAAAGGAUAUUCCCAUAUAUCGUUCUCCAUGAAAUCCAAAUUUAACUUCAGAUGUUGUAAUUCCAAUAGGAGCAUGCACAGAUCCUGGUACCAUUGGGACCUAGAUAGAUCGGGAAACUUUCCUUUGAAAGCGUCAUCAAACUUGGCAAGACUCUUACAUUGUCUGUUUUAGCUCAGAGUUUCAACUAUAGAUCUUUUCACCUCACUCCUGAACUAGAUCUGUGUGAUGCACUCCUGAACUAGAUCUGAGCGAUGCACUCCUGAACUAGAUCUGUGUUAUGCACUCCUGAACUAGAUGUGUGUGAUGCACUCCUGAUCUAGAUCUGUGUGAUGCACUCCUGAUCUAGAUCUGUGUGAUGCACUCCUGAACCAGAUCUGUGUGAUGCACUCCUGAACCAGAUCUGUGUGAUGCACUCCUGAACUAGAUCUGUGUUUCACUCCUGAACUAGAUCUGUGUGAUGCACUCCUGAACUAGAAUUUGGAGUUCUUAGAUUACUUUGUGAUGUUGCUUUUGACAGCACAUUCAACUACUGGUGUCAUGGUCCAGAACUGAGACUAAUGGAGAACUGGACUGGUGAUCUCAGCUCCCAUAUGUUAAGCAUGUUCAAGAAUUGGCUGUAUACUACUAUUCCUCUCAUAAGGAACAUGUAUGAAGAUGUGAUGUAAAACCGUCCAAUGUCCAUAUCACCUGAUCGUGAACAGUUUGUUUCUUAUGUUUAAUGAGUUACUUCUGAAGGGAUUUGUUGUCAUUAAAUUUGUUGUACUUCUUUAACAUUCCAUGUUAUUUUCCUACUGAUAUACACGUUGGGCACUGGGGAAAGAGCACUUAUCCGACACCUGGCCAGGCUUGUUACUGAGCAGCUCUGUGCUAGUCUGCCAACUGAUGUGGCAUCAUACAACCUUUAAUAUUACGUUUGGUGAUCCUAAGAUUCUUUGUAAACAUUGUGGAUCAGUUGAAGAUGAAGCACAUGUUGUAUAUGUAUGCAUGUUCUAUGAAGAUAACCGUAGGGAUUUACUACCAAGAUUAACAAAUAACCAGUACUACUCACUUAAAAGUUUGUGUACCUCAAAAGAUAUCAAUAUUUUAGUUCCAUUUACUAAGUUUCUCGAAUGUAUUUUCUUUUGCUAAACCUCAUUAAUAUUUAUAUGCAUAAUAUAAGUCAAUAUGAGAGUAGUGGUAACUCUAAAAGUACUUGUAAUACUAUAUGUACUUUGGUCACGUGGCCUGAAAUGCACAAAACAUGUCUGUCUGUCAUACAACCCUUGAUGGGCAUUCAGAAAUUGAAAGGUUGUAUAACAACUUCUUUAUUACUUGUUUCGACGUUUCAGGGCUACUUCCUGCCCCUUAAUCAGCUUUGCUCACCCUGUGAAUGGUUUGGUCACUUGAUGAAGGGAUUGCCCUGAAAUGUCAUGAUGAACUAUAUCUCUCGGGGAUCAUACACUUCAAUAAUGUAUAAAAUAUUUUAGUCAGUGUUCACACAACUGAAUUCUAUACAAGUUUUUGUUAUUCUGCACUUCGUUGUUGCCACAACCACUGUGAUAUACCUGUUUAUAUCAUCCUGUGCAAUAAAUAUUUUACACAUCAA